GGGCCGGGACCACAAACUGGGCCAAACACAUGUCAUACGACUCGGCAUAAGGCUGAACUGGAAAAUCAACGAAAGGGCAGGCGGGGAUCAACAGACGAAAGCAGAAUCACAGCCCACUCCAGCUACUUGCUAGGGGUCUCUCAAUCAAAACAAUAACAGAGGAUCGGGUUUGAUGACGUCAUGAGGCAGCGUGGGAUCAUGGGAACUGUUGUCUUCACCUCCACUGCUGAUGAAAUCUACCAGAUCAUGUUCAUGAUCUGGAAACGUCUCCAGGAAAAGGAUGAGGCCCAUGCCUUUGGCAACAGAAUCUCUCUUACUGGCUUCACACACAUGAAGCCUCAUCUGUUGAUCCAGAAAUGUGAGGGGAAUUAAUGCACCUGAAAAAAGGAAAUGGUUGAGAAGAACUGGGAUAAAUGAGCCCAGUCACUUCAGAUCUCCAGCAAAGCU